rnacentral:rRNA from 1 species
AUUGAACGCUGGCGGCAUGCUUUACACAUGCAAGUCGAACGGUAACAGGGUGCUUGCACCGCUGACGAGUGGCGAACGGGUGAGUAAUGCGUCGGAACGCACCGAGUAAUGGGGGAUAACGCAGCGAAAGCUGUGCUAAUACCGCAUACGCCCUGAGGAGGAAAGCGGGGGACCUUCGGGCCUCGCGUUAUUCGAGCGGCCGACGUCUGAUUAGCUAGUAGGUGAGGUAAGCGCUCACCUAGGCGACGAUCAGUAGCGGGUCUGAGAGGAUGAUCCGCCACACUGGGACUGAGACACGGCCCAGACUCCUACGAGAGGCAGCAGUGGGGAAUUUUGGACAAUGGGCGCAAGCCUGAUCCAGCCAUGCCGCGUGUCUGAAGAAGGCCUUCGGGUUGUAAAGGACUUUUGUCAGGGAGGAAAUCCUUAGCGCUAAUACCGUUGAGGGAUGACAGUACCUGAAGAAUAAGCACCGGCUAACUACGUGCCAGCCGCCGCGGUAA